rnacentral:rRNA from 1 species
UACGGAGGAUGCAAGCGUUAUCCGGAAUCAUUGGGUUUAAAGGGUCCGCAGGCGGGUUGUUAAGUCAGGGGUGAAAUCUUACAGCUCAACUGUAAAAUUGCCUUUGAUACUGGCAAUCUUGAAUCAUUAUGAAGUGGUUAGAAUGUGUAGUGUAGCGGUGAAAUGCUUAGAUAUUACACAGAAUACCGAUUGCGAAGGCAGAUCACUAACAAUGUAUUGACGCUCAGGGACGAAAGCGUGGGGAGAAAACAGG